AUGGCGGCGCCCACGUAUCAUGAUUUGCUUGAAAAGACUAGAGAACAACCAAUGUUCCAGGACCUGCUAAGAUUUCUGUAUGAGUUUGCCUGGAUACACAACUUUGUGACGACACGUUUUUUUGUAGACGAAGUGUGGCGACAUAUGCCUCAAGAGUGGCGUGAUGUUCUGCUGGCCUUGACUGCGGAGGAGUUGAACCACCUGCCUUUUGAAUUCCAUCAGGAAAGGGCUCACUUCCCUCCUUCACUGAAGAGGUUCCUGCAGAUGUCACACAAACUGUCUCUGAUCAGGGAUCAAGUCAACAUCUUGGGCAAGAAGGCUGUAGACCCAAAUCUGAAACGUGGAAUGUCGCCCAAAAAACUUCAUGAAGUUACUAAUAUGUCUGCUGUUGUCAUGGAAACUGCAUCCAAAGCUGGCUGUGAUGUCAUUGUAGAUAUAGGAUCAGGAUUGGGUUACCUGGGCCAGGUGCUACACAAGUGCUAUGGGUACUCGGUGGUUGGAGUGGAGGGUUGUGACGGACAUGUGGAGCGGGCUGAGAAGAGAGGUGCUAAACAAGAUCUCCAAGAUGGCUGCAUUCACAAUGUCACCUUCAACCUACAGCAGACAGGGGAACAUCUCAACGUGUUUCAUGACAAAGUAUCCAAGGCUCUGAGAAGUCUAAAGCCAUGUGUUCACUCACAGACAGCAGUUCAGAAUCCAUGUCAAGUUGAUUCAAAACUGAAAUCUGAAAGGGACACACGAUGCCAGGCUGGUGUUAGUCCUCAAGAUGAGAACCCAAAUUUGGACAAUAAAUAUUCUGGGAUGGAAGUAUGUCAAAGGAUAUAUCGUGGAAGGAAUAUCUGUUUAUGCAAUGAUGUGUCUGAUAACACAGCCAGGACUGUUGUUAAUGCCUCUGGAAUGUGUCCUGGUGGAAAUGAAUCAACUCAAACAUCACCGAACCUGCCUAAAAAUGACAUCCGGCAAGAAUAUCCUGGAGGUGAAGCAGAGACGAGUCAUGUGCCUGUUGCUGCACUUUCAUCUGAAGAGAGACGUGUGUGUAUGAUCGGCCUUCACUGCUGCGGGGACCUAACUCCCACAAUGCUUUGGUACUUCCUGCACAUGUCCAGUGUCCGGGCACUGUGUCUUGUGAGCUGCUGUUACCACAAGAUGUCCUUUGAUGAAGAUACCAGCCAGUUCAACAGCUUUCCUCUGAGUGAGAAUUGUCGGGAAGCCUACGCUGACAUGAAACGCCAACACCCUGGCUGGAGCCUUCACCCUGUCAGCUUGAGACUAGCAGCCCAGGAAACUAGGUCUCGAUGGAAGGCUCAGACGGAGACAGACCACGACACCCAUGUUAGACAUGUUGCUUAUAGAGGGAUACUAGAGGCAUUCUUUAUGGAAGGUGAGUGGAUGCUGAGGUCGGCCAACUGGACAGAAAAGUCAUCAGGAAGGCAGACUUCUCCAGCUUUGAUGCUUUCUCCACAUCCAUCGUCACAGGUCUAGAUGUCAGCAAUGAGGUCAGGGCUGAAUAUUUGCGUCACCUUCAAGAGCUGCACACGAGACACGUUCAACACUUCUGCUAUGUGGAGGUCAUGACUUGUCUGCAGGUGC
rnacentral:misc_RNA from 1 species